rnacentral:rRNA from 1 species
CCUACGGGGGGCAGCAGUGAGGAAUAUUGGUCAAUGGGCUUACGCCUGAACCAGCCAAGUCGCGUGAGGGAAGACUGCCCUAUGGGUUGUAAACCUCUUUUGUCAGGGAGCAAAUGGCGCUACGUGUAGCGGUAUAGAGAGUACCUGAAGAAAAAGCAUCGGCUAACCCCGUGCCAGCAGCCGCGGUAAUACGGAGGAUGCGAGCGUUAGCCGGAUUUAUUGGGUUUAAAGGGUGCGUAGGCGGGCUGUUAAGUCAGCGGUAAAAGCCCGGGGCUCAACCCCGGCGCGCCGUUGAAACUGGCUGUCUUGAGCUGUCGAGAUGUAUGCGGAUUGCGCAUUGUAGCGGU